GACGAACGCUGGCGGCGUGCCUAAUACAUGCAAGUCGAACGAGAGCGACCGGUGCUUGCACUGGUCAAUCUAGUGGCGAACGGGUGAGUAACACGUGGGUAACCUGCCCAUCAGAGGGGGAUAACAUCCGGAAACGGAUGCUAAAACCGCAUAGGUCUUCGAGCCGCAUGGCUUGAAGGGGAAAAGAGGCGCAAGCUUCUGCUGAUGGAUGGACCCGCGGUGCAUUAGCUAGUUGGUGAGGUAACGGCUCACCAAGGCCGUGAUGCAUAGCCGACCUGAGAGGGUGAUCGGCCACAUUGGGACUGAGACACGGCCCAAACUCCUACGGGAGGCAGCAGUAGGGAAUCUUCCGCAAUGGACGCAAGUCUGACGGAGCAACGCCGCGUGAGUGAAGAAGGUUUUCGGAUCGUAAAACUCUGUUGUUAGAGAAGAACAAGUGCUAGAGUAACUGUUAGCGCCUUGACGGUAUCUAACCAGAAAGCCACGGCUAACUACGUG
rnacentral:rRNA from 1 species